rnacentral:rRNA from 1 species
UGAGGAAUCUUGCACAAUGGGGGCAACCCUGAUGCAGCAACGCCGCGUGGAGGAUGACGCAUUUCGGUGUGUAAACUCCUUUUAUAUGAGAAGAACAUGACGGUAUCAUAUGAAUAAGCACCGGCUAACUCCGUGCCAGCAGCCGCGGUAAUACGGAGGGUGCAAGCGUUACUCGGAAUCACUGGGCGUAAAGGACGCGUAGGCUGGAUAGAAAGUCAGGUGUGAAAUCCUACAGCUUAACUGUAGAACUGCACUUGAAACUCCUAUCCUAGAGUAUGGGAGGGGCAGAUGGAAUUAGUGGUGUAGGGGUAAAAUCCGUAGAUAUCACUAGGAACACCCAAAGCGAAGGCGAUCUGCUGGAACAUAACUGACGCUAAGGCGUGAAAGCGUGGGGAGCAAACAGG